UAAUAGUAAUAACAGGACCAUUUUAAUCUGUGAACAAGUCUUUUAAUUAUCAAUAUCUCUUUUCAGUCAAUAGUUGCAGCCUCCGCCUCAUCCAACAUUCCCUUCAGAAGAACGAGGUGCCCAGGAGGAGAGCAGGUUAUCAGGCACAACUGAGGGAUGCAGAAAGGCCCAAGAGCACCCAGAAGAAGGGAAAGAAGACCCGCUCCCUCCUGUGGGUCCUUCCGCACAGUGAAAGGCCUUGGAGACGCUGCUGCUCUUCAGACACUUGGAGGUCAAGUUGGGCCCACUUCUGUGUUUCAAGCAUGGAUGCAUUGUGAGCAGGUACUGCUGGGAAGGAAUUGUGGCCAGGUUCUUCCUCUCCUGGAGGCCGUAGAAGAUAACUCAACAGACCAAGGUCAAGCCCUUCUGGCCUGGAUCCCCAGCUAGGAUGAGGAUUGUUCAGCUACUGGAUGUCCAAAGGAUUGGAUUCUCUCUGGGUUGUUCAACUGGGUUGGAGGGGAGGGUCUUGGGAGCCUGUCCCUGGUGCAUGUGUUACUAUAAUGAUUCUGGGGCUGGUUUUUCUUCCUUCCCACUUAGCUGGUUAGAUCCAAUAUGAACUGUUGCUUUCAAUCCCCAGAUCUACUUUUGUCUCAUAUUCCUCAUCUCAGAACUGUCACUACCAUCUACCCAAGUAUUUAAACCAGAAAGUUGGGGGCGCUUGGGUGGCUCAGUUGGUUGAGUAUCUGACUCUGGAUUUUGGCUCAGGUCAUGGUCUCACAGUUUGUGGGACGGAGCCCUGCAUCAGGCUCUGCACUGACAGUGCGGAGUCUGCUUGGGAUUCUGUCUCUCUUUUUCUGCCCCUCCCCUGCCUGUGCUCUCUCUCUCACUCACUCACUCAAUAAAUAAACAAACCAGAAAGCUGG
rnacentral:lncRNA from 1 species